rnacentral:rRNA from 1 species
AUUGAACGCUGGCGGCAGGCCUAACACAUGCAAGUAGAACGAGUGGCGGACGGGUGAGUAAUGUCUGGGAAACUGCCUGAUGGAGGGGGAUAACUACUGGAAACGGUAGCUAAUACCGCAUACCAUCAGAUGUGGCCAGAUGGGAUUAGCUAUUAGGUGGGGUAAUGGCUCACCUAGGCGACGAUCCCUAGCUGGUCUGAGAGGAUGACCAGCAACACUGGAACGGAGACACGGUCCAGAUUCCUACGGGAGGCAGCAUGGGGGAACAUGGCAAAAUGGGCGCAAGCCUUCUGCAGUCAUCCCGCGUGUGUGAAGAAGGCCUUCGGGUUGUAAAGCACUUUCAUCGAGGAGGCGUUACUCGCAGAAGAAGCACCGGCUAACUCCGUGCCAGCAGCCGCGGUAAUUC